GUGACUGCGUACCUUUUGUAUAAUGGGUCAGCGACUUAUAUUCUGUAGCAAGGUUAACCGAAUAGGGGAGCCGAAGGGAAACCGAGUCUUAACUGGGCGUUAAGUUGCAGGGUAUAGACCCGAAACCCGGUGAUCUAGCCAUGGGCAGGUUGAAGGUUGGGUAACACUAACUGGAGGACCGAACCGACUAAUGUUGAAAAAUUAGCGGAUGACUUGUGGCUGGGGGUGAAAGGCCAAUCAAACCGGGAGAUAGCUGGUUCUCCCCGAAAGCUAUUUAGGUAGCGCCUCGUGAACUCAUCUCCGGGGGUAGAGCACUGUUUCGGCAAGGGGGUCAUCCCGACUUACCAACCCGAUGCAAACUGCGAAUACCGGAGAAUGUUAUCACGGGAGACACACGGCGGGUGCUAACGUCCGUCGUGAAGAGGGAAACAACCCAGACCGCCAGCUAAGGUCCCAAAGUCAUGGUUAAGUGGGAAACGAUGUGGGAAGGCCCAGACAGCCAGGAUGUUGGCUUAGAAGCAGCCAUCAUUUAAAGAAAGCGUAAUAGCUCACUGGUCGAGUCGGCCUGCGCGGAAGAUGUAACGGGGCUAAACCAUGCACCGAAGCUGCGGCAGCGACGCUUAUGCGUUGUUGGGUAGGGGAGCGUUCUGUAAGCCUGUGAAGGUGUGCUGUGAGGCAUGCUGGAGGUAUCAGAAGUGCGAAUGCUGACAUAAGUAACGAUAAAGCGGGUGAAAAGCCCGCUCGCCGGAAGACCAAGGGUUCCUGUCCAACGUUAAUCGGGGCAGGGUGAGUCGACCCCUAAGGCGAGGCCGAAAGGCGUAGUCGAUGGGAAACAGGUUAAUAUUCCUGUACUUGGUGUUACUGCGAAGGGGGGACGGAGAAGGCUAUGUUGGCCGGGCGACGGUUGUCCCGGUUUAAGCGUGUAGGCUGGUUUUCCAGGCAAAUCCGGAAAAUCAAGGCUGAGGCGUGAUGACGAGGCACUACGGUGCUGAAGCAACAAAUGCCCUGCUUCCAGGAAAAGCCUCUAAGCAUCAGGUAACAUCAAAUCGUACCCCAAACCGACACAGGUGGUCAGGUAGAGAAUACCAAGGCGCUUGAGAGAACUCGGGUGAAGGAACUAGGCAAAAUGGUGCCGUAACUUCGGGAGAAGGCACGCUGAUAUGUAGGUGAAGUCCCUCGCGGAUGGAGCUGAAAUCAGUCGAAGAUACCAGCUGGCUGCAACUGUUUAUUAAAAACACAGCACUGUGCAAACACGAAAGUGGACGUAUACGGUGUGACGCCUGCCCGGUGCCGGAAGGUUAAUUGAUGGGGUCAGCGCAAGCGAAGCUCUUGAUCGAAGCCCCGGUAAACGGCGGCCGUAACUAUAACGGUCCUAAGGUAGCGAAAUUCCUUGUCGGGUAAGUUCCGACCUGCACGAAUGGCGUAAUGAUGGCCAGGCUGUCUCCACCCGAGACUCAGUGAAAUUGAACUCGCUGUGAAGAUGCAGUGUACCCGCGGCAAGACGGAAAGACCCCGUGAACCUUUACUAUAGCUUGACACUGAACAUUGAGCCUUGAUGUGUAGGAUAGGUGGGAGGCUUAGAAGUGUGGACGCCAGUCUGCAUGGAGCCGACCUUGAAAUACCACCCUUUAAUGUUUGAUGUUCUAACGUUGACCCGUAAUCCGGGUUGCGGACAGUGUCUGGUGGGUAGUUUGACUGGGGCGGUCUCCUCCUAAAGAGUAACGGAGGAGCACGAAGGUUGGCUAAUCCUGGUCGGACAUCAGGAGGUUAGUGCAAUGGCAUAAGCCAGCUUGACUGCGAGCGUGACGGCGCGAGCAGGUGCGAAAGCAGGUCAUAGUGAUCCGGUGGUUCUGAAUGGAAGGGCCAUCGCUCAACGGAUAAAAGGUACUCCGGGGAUAACAGGCUGAUACCGCCCAAGAGUUCAUAUCGACGGCGGUGUUUGGCACCUCGAUGUCGGCUCAUCACAUCCUGGGGCUGAAGUAGGUCCCAAGGGUAUGGCUGUUCGCCAUUUAAAGUGGUACGCGAGCUGGGUUUAGAACGUCGUGAGACAGUUCGGUCCCUAUCUGCCGUGGGCGCUGGAGAACUGAGGGGGGCUGCUCCUAGUACGAGAGGACCGGAGUGGACGCAUCACUGGUGUUCGGGUUGUCAUGCCAAUGGCACUGCCCGGUAGCUAAAUGCGGAAGAGAUAAGUGCUGAAAGCAUCUAAGCACGAAACUUGCCCCGAGAUGAGUUCUCCCUGAC
rnacentral:rRNA from 1 species